rnacentral:rRNA from 1 species
AGUGAAGCGGCAAAAGCUCAAUUUGAAAUCUGGUACCUUCGGUGCCCGAGUUGUAAUUUGGAGAGGGCAACUUUGGGGCCGUUCCUUGUCUAUGUUCCUUGGAACAGGACGUCAUAGAGGGUGAGAAUCCCGUGUGGCGAGGAGUGCGGUUCUUUGUAAAGUGCCUUCGAAGAGUCGAGUUGUUUGGGAAUGCAGCUCUAAGUGGGUGGUAAAUUCCAUCUAAAGCUAAAUAUUGGCGAGAGACCGAUAGCGAACAAGUACAGUGAUGGAAAGAUGAAAAGAACUUUGAAAAGAGAGUGAAAAAGUACGUGAAAUUGUUGAAAGGGAAGGGCAUUUGAUCAGACAUGGUGUUUUGUGCCCUCUGCUCCUUGUGGGUAGGGGAAUCUCGCAUUUCACUGGGCCAGCAUCAGUUUUGGUGGCAGGAUAAAUCCAUAGGAAUGUAGCUUGCCUCGGUAAGUAUUAUAGCCUGUGGGAAUACUGCCAGCUGGGACUGAGGACUGCGACGUAAGUCAAGGAUGCUGGCAUAAUGGUUAUAUGCCGCCCGUCUUG